rnacentral:rRNA from 1 species
CAGCCGUAAACUAUGCGCGUUAGGUGUAUCGGUGACCACGAGUUACCGAGGUGCCGAAGGGAAACCGUGAAACGUGCCGCCUGGGAAGUACGGUCGCAAGGCUGAAACUUAAAGGAAUUGGCGGGGGAGCACCACAACAGGUGGAGCCUGCGGUUUAAUUGGACUCAACGCCGGGAAGCUCACCGGAUAGGACAGCAGAAUGAUUGCCGGGCUGAAGACUCUGCAUGACUAGCUGAGAUGAGGUGCAUGGCGUAGACGUCU